UACAGAGGGGGCAAGCGUUAUUCGGAAUUAUUGGGCGUAAAGGGCGCGUAGGCGGCUUUGCAAGUGACGGGUGAAAUCCCUCGGCUUAACCGAGGAACUGCCUGUCAGACUGCAUGGCUUGAGACCGGGAGAGGUGAGUGGAAUUCCCAGUGUAGCGGUGAAAUGCGUAGAUAUUGGGAGGAACACCAGUGGCGAAGGCGGCUCACUGGACCGGUACUGACGCUGAGGCGCGAAAGCGGUGGGGAGCAAACAGG
rnacentral:rRNA from 1 species